rnacentral:snRNA from 1 species
UUCCCUACCCAGGGACUACAUAUUAAAUUGUAUUUUGGUAUCACGGAGCUGGAGCCGGGCAAUUCCCCAAAUGUGGGAAUCUCGACUGCAUAAUUUAUGGUAGGGGGGGACUGCGUUCGCGCUCUCCCCUG